UAUUUUGCAAUAUAUAGUUAUCCAGUGGUCCAUAUAAAGUCUUCUUAUAUAUGCUACUCUCUGACUGAAUGUUUUUCUUCCUACCUGUCAUAUCCCUUUUAUUGGUUAUUUGGUUUACUCAUUCCUGAUUGAAAACUUCUUUCAUUUAAACUUUGAUCUCCAGUCUCGAUAUGAGCAAUCAAGUAAAUAUGAAAAUAUUGCCUGAAAUUUUAGGAUUGUUAUGCUAAAAUUACAUCCUCAUUUAGUGUUGUAAUUUUGUAGUUUGUUACUAUAAAACAUAGUAGUCAGCAAUAGUUCACUAGGAUUUUCUAUGCCAAAUAUACGCAAGUAUUUUAGUUUCUCCCUGACGUGUUACUUUCUAGGAUUGCAGGAGUGGAGUUGAUGAGUUGAGGGAGGGAGAAAUCAGUCAGGUUUGUUAAAGUUGCAUUCAUGAUUUGCUUUUGAGGUUGCCCCUUUGUGCGUACUGAUUUGUGGUUCGAUUGCGAGAGUUGAUGAGUUGAUAGAGGGAGAACUCAGGUACUGCAACCUGCCUAUUUUAAAGACUCUGAUCAACAUGUUUUGAAUGGUGACCACCCUAAUCCAAAUGUAAACCUCCAAAGCUCGGUUUAGGGAUAAGAAAUUCCAUUUUGUAAGGUUUCUUGGUGUGCAACAAGAACAACUGUCGAAGCUCAAAUGUGUUUUGGAGUUCCUUUGUUCUGGGUAAACACUACAUCACAAAACAACAUAAUAAGAAUAACUUUAUAGGUUGUGUUCAUCUUCUUAAACUUUGGAUAGUCUUUAAUGCCU